rnacentral:rRNA from 1 species
CCAGAGGUAAACGGGUGGGACCGCAAAUGCGGUCGGUCCGGGGGAUUCAACCGGCCGAAGGUGGCGGCGCGGAUCCUGCGGAGUCGCCGAGACCCGCAGCGAUCCGUUCGGCAGGAGGCCGCCCCGGUACGGCGCACUUUCCCCGGGUCGACGGUCACGGCCGGCUCUCCGGCGGCCAGAAGCCGUGUUCGGGGUAAGGUGGACUCGGGCCUCCGCGCUCGAGGAGCUUACAGACCCCUGCACGCGCGGGCCCGUCGGAGGGCCGAGGAAGGGAAGCGUAUCGCCGCCCCCGUUUCGCCCGUCGGGUCCUUCCGACGGCUUCCGGGCUGGACUGGCUCCGUCCAGUGCUCUACCCGGUCGCCGGCGCGAACCGCGCUCGACGAAGCGGCGGGGGCCGAGGGCCCCGUGACGAAUCGGUCGGCAACCCACCCGACCCGUCUUGAA